rnacentral:rRNA from 1 species
UACGAAGGGGGCUAGCGUUGUUCGGAAUUACUGGGCGUAAAGCGCACGCAGGCGGCUCGAUAAAUUAGAAGUGAAAGCCCCGGGCUUAACCUGGGAAUUGCUUUUAAGACUGUCGAGCUAGAAUCCAGAAGAGGGUAGUGGAAUUCCGAGUGUAGAGGUGAAAUUCGUAGAUAUUCGGAGGAACACCGAUGGCGAAGGCAAUCCCCUGGGCCUGCACUGACGCUCAUGCACGAAAGCGUGGGGAGCAAACAGG